GGUUCCAUGGUCUAGCUGGUUUAUGACUUCUGUCUAACAAUGCUGUCAAAUUUCCUAUGGAGUUGGACGUAAUUGGUUCACAGGCGGUCCCCGGUUCGAGCCCGGGUGGAAUCA